ensembl:lncRNA
AUGCGAUCCGUUGGGCAGCCAGAAAGGAGGGAGGGCCAGGUGACGCAGAGGGGAGGCUCUGCGGCGUGCAGGGUGCAGGGGCCUGUCCGGGGUAGCUGGUCGCCCGCGGGCCGGGAAGAUCGGGGUGGGGGGGGGGCGAGCUCCCGCGUCUGCGGGGUGCGGGAAGGGGGCCUCACCCGGACAAAGGCGGUCCCCGGGCGGCUGCCAGCGCGCGCUGCCCCCUGGUGGCGAGUCGCUCCUCUGCAGCCAGCAAGCGAGCCGUCCCUUUGUUUUCCUGCUGCAGCUCCUGCCAGGGUUUGCUGGGAAUUCUGGAAGCGACUGACCACAGAUGGGAUCUUAAGGAUCAGAAAUGAGCUUCAGAGGGCCUGCCAAUCCUCUGCAUCCUAUGGUGGAAGGAGAAGUGAGCACAGAGGGCACCCUGGUUUCUCAGAGGUUCAUCCUAACAACGCCAGACAUUUCACCGGUAGAGGUCAUCUACUGCUACCGAGGCCGAAAAUGCCAGGUACUCAUUUCCCCAGCCUCUUUUUGACCCAGUUCUGGACAAUGAGGGAAAGUUGA